rnacentral:tRNA from 1 species
AAGGAUUUAAGUUAAAAAAACUAACAACCUUCAAAGUUGUCAUUAGAAAGGUUUCUAAGCCUUA